AACAAACGCUGGCGGCGUGCCUAACACAUGCAAGUCGUACGAGAAAGUCGGCUUCGGCCGAUGAGUACAGUGGCGCACGGGUGAGUAGCGCGUGGGUAAUCUGCCCCUCGGUCAGGAAUAACCCGCCGAAAGGCGGGCUAAUACCCGAUAACACUGACGCUCUGCGGAGUGUCUUUCAAAGAAGGCCUCUGUUUACAAGCUUUCGCCGGAGGAUGAGCCCGCGUACCAUUAGCUAGUUGGCAGGGUAAUGGCCUACCAAGGCAACGAUGGUUAGCGGGUCUGAGAGGAUGGCCAGCCACACUGGAACUGAGACACGGUCCAGACUCCUACGGGAGGCAGCAGUGAGGAAUCUUGCGCAAUGGGGGAAACCCUGACGCAGCAACGCCGCGUGAGUGAGGAAGGCUUUCGGGUCGUAAAGCUCUGUCAGAUGGGAAGAAAUGGAUGGAAGCCAAUACCUUUCAUUCUUGACGGUACCAUCAGAGGAAGCACCGGCUAACUCCGUGCCAGCAGCCGCCGUAA
rnacentral:rRNA from 1 species